UCUUAUGUUAAGGUGCAUUCAAAUCAUGCGCAUGCACACAGUGUUUGUUCUGAGGUUAGGGAAGGCUCUGAGCAAUGAUCUGUGCAUAAUUGCACAGUCCUUCAAAAGCACUGCCCCCCCUUUCCACCUUGUCCCACCCCAAAGUGAGCAGCAGUUUGUUGCUGAAGCCGUGAUACUUCAAGGAGAGAAGUGGAAUCAUCUGUCGUCUCUUUCCUCUUCUGAUGCAUGCUGACAGGAAGAGGGCUUGCUAGAUCUUGCCACUGGUAAAAAUACCAGUGGCCGGUGGAGUGAGUGCAAAACAGGGGUUCCAGAGAUGCAUGCAGCACCCAUAUCUCUGCCACAAGGUGUGACUGGAGAAUUCAUGGCACAUCUGGUUUUAGCCUCAAAAGUGGAUGAACAUGCCACGUCUGUCUUACUUUAGCUGUGCUAAGGACAGUCCUGAGAGGAUCACCUACGAAAUCCCAACUCAGCUAGAACCAGCACAUAACAGCGAGCAUGGAAUGAACAGCUGCUUUUGUUCUUGAGUAAAUCUUUGGUGUCAGUCUUGACCCUUCUGCUCCUGGCUACUGAGAGGUACUUUAGUCUUUGCACUGUAGUCCAUGUAGCUAACCAGAUCUGCUAGCCUAAUGACUGUUAGGAGAUCCUAAUUGCUAAAUGACUGCUGAUUCCUGUUUUCUGAUUGCUAAAUGUAUGCUCAGAGCAUGCUCCUGCAGCUGCAGUUACCCGUCUCUACAAACAAGGCUUCCUUCACUGUCAACGUCCAGGCCUUUUCAUAAAGACUUGGAGCCAUCCUCUCCCUCCAAGAUUCAUGUCUCAUUACUUGCUGCCUUCUCAGCUCAGAAGCAUCAAGGAAUUCUGGUCCAUCUCAGGAGAGAUCAGCUUUUGAAAUUAAAGAGCAAGUCCUCUAUAUGCAAAAAGAUAAAGCUGAUACAAAAGAAUUGUCAGUGAAGAUAAUUACUAAGUCAUGCACAUAGGGAAACAAUAACAGCACAAACUGAUGCACACAAAUGAUGAAAGCAGAAACAACAUGGGAAAGAUAUCACCUUAUUGAACCAAAUCUCUGCUAAGCAGCCAACAAAAACACGAUAGAUGUGUGAGGGGUUAGGUUUUCUGGAAAUAAGAAGAUUACAGAGCAGAAAGCACUGUUAAUAGAAUCAUAGAAUCAUAAUGGCUUGGGUUGGGUUGGAAGGGACCUUAAAGAUCACCUAGUUCCAAAUCCCCUGCUGUGGGUGAGGUUGCCACCCACUAGUCAGGUUGCCUGCUGUUAUGCCACCGUCUAAAUAGUGACCAUGCAAAAGAAGUGUAUUUCUUUGUGAGAGGUCAGACAAAAUGUCUGAUAACUAUGUAUGCUGCUUAUACCUCUAAGUGUUAAAAGGCUUUGUUUGGAUGGCAGAAAUUUGGGAAAAGGUUGUAUGCAAGUGUUAGUGAAACUAUCACUAGACAAGAACACAAUCAGAAUGAAAGGUCACGCAACUUGGCUUAAAGUUAAAGUCUGACUCAUCUCAAAAGACACUUUUGAUAGAUGCCAUGUAUUAGAUAACUUUAUGUACAUCAUGUAUUGCUGUUAUAAUUCUCAGAUUCACUCAGGAGUAUUUGCAGGACGGAAACGUGCAAAGCUAUUGUAAGCACACUUUUCAGAUCUUAAACUUGUUAAAUGAGCAUGAGGAAUUACACAAAUCUCCUUAUUCUAGUCUCAAUAAGCAAAGCAUUCCAUUCAUAUUGGAAAACAAAAACAACAAAAAAUCAAACACCCAUUCUUCUAACUUAUCACUGAAGAAACUCAAAGAAUGAAGUGAAUUUAAAAUUGUAAAGGUAUUUUCCAGAAUUGCUUUACUUUGGAGGGCAGCUGAUAAAUAACACAAGCAGUCACAAGCAUGCAUGUUUGAAAAUGUCUCUUAAAACGUCAGAUGAAAAAGGACACUUAAGAAACUCCAGGAAUAGUUGGAGGCAUGAUUUGUGCUGCUGCGCAUAUAAACUCUACAUGCUAUCUAUAAUUCAUGAUUUGUUUUCAGGAAAUUAGGUUUAAGAAAGUAAAUUUGAAAUUUACUACUAUCUUUUUUUUCCUUUCUGACAGAUAUAGAAGAGCUUUUCAAACUGAAGAAGAUUGUAUAGCCAGUGUCCACCAGUUCGAGUGAAGUCAGAGGCAGGUCAUGAACUGAUGCAAGAUUAAGGACUGUAGUAUUGAUGGACUCUUGAAAAGAUGGUUGAGAAAUGUUUUGGAUGCUGCCCUAUAUAUUGUUACUGCUAGGCUUCUGCAUAUUACUGUCGCACCUGAAUUAGACAUGUCUGAUUCUCCAGAAUAUUAUUAUCUAACAAAUUCUGGAAGAGAAAGAAACAUCUAUGAAAUAACCCUUGGAAUGUCUGGAGCCUCUGAAUCAGAUCAAGUUUAAUCACGAAAGCUGCUGGAAGAAACUACAGUAGAAAAGCAUUUAUUUAGAAAGUUUAAUUCCAUAUAUUCCACAUUCCAAUAUUGGGUUAAUUCCAUAUUCCAGUAUUGGGUUAAUUAGUUUGUAAUUUAUAGAAAAAAAAUUGGCUGAAGUAAAAACCAACAUUUUUAGAAAGAGAAAGAUGUUGUACAGAUUUAAAUUCAUUUUAAAAUAUUUAAAGUUCUAUUUUAGUUUUAUUUUAGUGAUAAUGUAAUUCCUAAGCAAUACGAUCCAAUUCCCAUUUUAUCACAAUUCUCUGCUUUCACUAAGCUAAAAUUAAUAGCUUUUUCAUCAGCAUUUCUGUAAUUUCACUUAUAUGCACUUUAUGUAUCUGAUAGUUUUUGGUCCAGAUGGGAACUAAAUUAAAAUAUGCAUGAAUUCUUCACCAAAAAAAAAAAAUUCAUUAGAUAAAACCCUAUUAGCAGUUAAAUACAAUGGUAUCCUUUAAAAUAUAUAUUUCAAACUCCCAUAUUUUAGAAGUCUUAUGUGGAGAAAUGCAGUCUUUACUAGUUAGCAAACUCAUUAAUAACUAUUAACUAGUUAGUUAUAAUACUAGUUAGUAUUUUUAUUCAAAAUUUUAGUUCACUUCCAGCUCCUUUGCAUCUGAUAUAACAUAGCUCUGCAGUGAGCCACUGCCUUGCAGUGCUCAGCAUCUAAGCUUUAAGAUAAUCAUUGUCCAUUAUCAAUAACAAGCAGAUGAAAGGGAAAAAAGAGAAUUUUCAUCUGAAUGUUUAUUAGGAAACUAUCAACAUGUAAGUAAGGUAUGUUAUACAUUAAAAAAUAGUUUUAUUUCCAAGAGACCAGCACAGCACCAGCAGUAUUCCCAGUUGUCUCAUUGUCAUCUGCCUGUAUUUUAUUGUCCCAUUAAAUAUUUACAUAAUCCCACUCCAGUGAAACUGAUGAACAGACUGAAAACUAUAACAACAAUUUUAAAUAUGCUAUAUGACCAUUAUCUUCUGGUUUUAAUACAACUGUAACUAAAUGAAGUUCUGCACUAAAACUGUAAAACUCCCCCCCCCCAAAAAAAGUUAAUAUUAUAAAUCAUAGUUUUUAAUUCAUGAAGUUGAUUUUCUUUAGAGACUGCAUGUUGUGUUCAAAGAGAGAGAGAGAGCAAAACCUAAAGUGCCACUUGCAUAUAUAUUUUCUACAGAUGCAAACUAUCAACUAAUCACAGAAAGAAUAUACAUAUUACAAAAGAGAACAUAAUACAGCACCCUUUAAGGCUUUGCCAUUAAUGGCAAGGUCAGACAUGGUACUUUUUGCUCCAUUGAUUCAGCGAUUCAUGACCCAAGUGAGGUCACUGCUUAUGCACAGAGCACAAUUAAAUCAAGGUUAGACAAGCCAGACUCCUUAGUACAAGAUAGUAUGCCAGCAGAUUACACAGUACGAGGAAAUUUGCAUUUGAAUCAUACUUCAUGAAGAUUAUUUACUCAUUUUCUUGACUGAAAAAAAGAUUAUCAGUAAUGUUAAUUCUGUUUAUAGAAAACAUGUUAAAAACAGUUCGCCUGAGAUCUGAGUGGUUUGACAUGAGUUCCUUUUACACAAUAAACAAGAAAACAAAUAAAAAAUUGCUUUAUUCAGUGUUUUA